GGCCACCCCUGCAGCAUAUGGAAGUUCCCAGGCUAGGGGUUAAAUCAGAGCUGCAGCUGCCGGCCUACACCACACAACCACAGCCACACCAGAUCUGAGCCCCGGGCUGCAACCUACACCACAGCUCAAGGUAAUGCUGGAUGCUGAAUCCACUGAGUGAGGCCAGAGAUCAAACCCACGACCUCAUGGAUGCCAGUCAGGUUCAUUACCGCUGAGCGACGACGGGAACUCCAGACAUUGAAAUUCAAUGCCCUCUUCCGCUUCCCCACUGCCCUUAACACCUGGGUAAGUGCCCAGCAGUUUGGAAAGAAUGGGCCUAGAACACUGUUGCCCUCCAACCCCUGACCCCCAUCCCUGAUUCAUAUCCACCCUACUCAUUCUUCGAGAGAACAGAUCUGACCAUGGAUUUCCACCUGCUGGGGCUAAAUGCAGCGCUUAGGUGGCAAUGGACAGGGGCCGACCCUUUUCGUCUGUUUUAAACUGGAGGAUUUUUGCGUAAGAAGUUUAACUGAACGAAGGGCUUUGUAAUUAAUAAAAUCAAGUUUGAAAAGCACUGCUCUGCUGUCAGCACACCAGUUACAGAUUAUCCACAUGCUUCCUUCCAUUCUCUGUACUUGCUGUAAUUUCUUCCUGUUUUCUUCUUGACCUCUUCCAGGUUCCAGGCUAGAAGUCAUGAGAGCAGCCUCCAAUGCCUAUUUGUAAAUAAAGUGUUCACUAGUUAUCAGGCAGACACUUAUACCUAGGAAUGAUAUGGCCACCAUCUGGGUGUCCCCACAACCACUUUCACAUGAAAAAAAGAUUUCUAGAUGAAAACAGGAAACAUUCCCAAACAGGAUGAGACAGCUUCUAACCAGCAGGCACAAGGACCCUGCCGUCACUCUGUAGAGACUCCUAUUGUAACUGUCCUGAUCUUUCCCAUCAAAGAUCCAAGGUUGAGCCCAAUAAAAUGACCCAUUUACUCAAAGAGCCCCUGGAGUUCUACGCCUGGAUUUUCCAUAAAUUCACCAACCAGUCAUGAGCAAGUGAUCCAACCAAAUCCCAUACCUCCAUGGAGACAUUUUCCCCAGAAGAAACCCUUUCCAAAGAGGAGAGAUGCCACAGUCUCUCACCCUGACUCUCUCUCCAUUUUAUCUGGCCUGUUUUGGAGCAUUGUCCUAAUCUUUUGACUCCUGUUCAAAUUCCUUUCCAUAGAGCAAACUCAGAGCGGUCUCUCUCCUCCUAGGAGUUCCUAUAACAAUGAUUAUCUGUGCGAUUCAUUUGACAGUUAAUCCUGGGAGGCCUUGUAUGUUGCUCGAAACUGUUAUCGUGUUGGUGGUAGACUUUUCAUACAGCCCUCCGGUAUCCGAGGUAGACCAGAAGUCCCCACAGGGCAGGGACUCUUUUACAUCUUCCCGCAGGGAACAACAUGGCACUUGGCACAUAGGAGGUGCCCAGGAGAGAUUUGCUAAAUUCCAUGUGCUUCCAAGCUUACUGUCAGUUUCCUUUAACUCCUGUAAGAGGGAAGAGCACAGCUGUCUCCUCUGAAGAAGCAUAGAUUUUUCUGGUUCACAAUGUCCUCAUCAUUCCCAAGCUGCCUAACACACUGCUAAGAUUCGAGACAACAUAAAAAGUCCUGUUUCUUAAAAACAGUCCUCCCUUGUUUGUCAGAGAGAGACACUGGGGAGUGGUGGCGACUAUGGCAAACUGACAAGGACAUGCCCAGCUACCACCCACCCAGUGCGCUUCGUUGGGGUCUUCCUCUGCCUGGCGCUUGUUGUAGCCACGUGUGCGUCUCGCCCCCAGGAGGUGCUUCGGAAAUGGUAGGUUCCUGACCCACUUCCCCUCCCUUCUGCUCGUCUAGCUCUGAUUCAUUCUGUCUUUCCAUAACCUAAUUGUUUCUCUGUGUCCUUUCAGGCCCCUUUCAGAUUUGUAUUCCCCUGUCCCCUUCUGCCUGUGGGAUCCUGCUGGUAGGACGCUGGAAUCAGACCUUACCUCAUUCUUGGAGGCUAAGCGACCGCAGCCUGACUGCUGGAGAGCAAGGAAAUGAGCAGUCCAGUCAGGGAAGAGCUAUGCCACCCAGAACAAAAUUAAUUCCUGAGGCUUGCUGGACCUGGCAGAACCAGAGCCUCGCUCAGUCACAGGCCCAGGAGGCACAGCAGGCGGGGGCAGGGGGAGGGCGAGCCGCCCGGAAUGUGGACUUUGCUGCCUCAGCCCAAGGCUGGCCUCACAUCUGUCAUGCCCACAGCGCUGGCUAUUUGCCAAAGAAAAGAAGGAGGGAAGGAAGAAAGGAAGGAAGGGAGCAAAGGAAGGAAGGGGGGGGGGGAGGAAGAGGAAGAAAUUCUUGAGAUUUCCCCCAAACAUGCUCCUCAUGGAGACAGUUCUUAGCCCAGGAGUGUGGUGCUACCUGAUUGCAACAAAGCUACACAUGCACAAUUCAGCUUGUCCUUAAAAUUCAGCAGCACUAGAAUGAAAAAGCAAUGCUCGGCGGAGUGGUGACAUUUAAGCGGUCAUGCAUUUUUCAACGUAUCAGUUAUGCAAAGAUGUUUAUACUCACUCUCCUCUCAGUCAUGUUUCAUUUAAAUGGAGUGGAAAAAAAAAAGUCUUCAAAAAGUUUAAUUAAAUAAAACAGAAUCGCAGAAGUCAACGUUAACGAAAACAGACUUCAGAGGUGGAAAAAAAAAAAGUAGAAACACAAAUUACAGAAAUAAUAAGGGAAAAUACAAGCAGAAGGGUACACUUAAUACAUAUUCUUGUUAUCUCUACCUCUUGCUGUUUCACCGCCUUGUGAAUUUUUAUGUUGUAUUAUAUUUCUAAAAAUCCAGGAAGAAAACUGUCAGGAGACGACCACAUGAAAGGGUUCAUGGGAGGCUGGGUUCGUCAAAAACCUGGAGCAGGAAGGGAAAACAUUUUUUUCAUUUAAAGAGGCAGUUUCUCUUUAAAAAAAAAAAAAAAA
ensembl:lncRNA